AGGGGGACAGAGAGAGAGAGAGGGAUAGAGAGGGGGACAGAUAGAGAGAGAGGUCAUUAGAGAGAGAGAGAGGUCAUUAGAGAGAGAGAUGGAUAGAGGUGGGAGGACAGUAGAGAGAGAGAGGUCUUGAGAGAGAGAGAGAGAGAGGGAUAGAGAGAGGGACAGAUAGAGAGAGAGGUCAUUAAUGAGAGAGGGAUAGAGGUGGGAGGACAGAUAUAUAGAGAGAGAUGUCUUGAGAGAGAGGGAUAGAGGUGGGAGGACAGUAGAGAGAGAAGGUCUUGAGAGAGAGAGAGAGAGAGAGGGAUAGAGAGAGGGACAGAUAGAGAGAGAGGAGUUGAGAGAGAGAGAGAGAGAGAGAGGGAUAGAGAGCGGGAUAGAGAGAGAGAGAGGUCUUGAGAGAGGGAUAGAGGUGGGAGGACAGAUAGAGAGAGCGAUGUCUUGAGAGAGGGAUAGAGGUGGGAGGACAGAUAGAGAGAGAGAGAGGUCUUGAGAGAGGGAUGGAGGUGGGAGGACAGAUAGAGAGAGAGAGGUCUUGAGAGAGGGAUGGAGGUGGGAGGACAGUAGUGGGGAGAUGACCAUGAACCUCUCAUAUUGUUUUCAAAGGUGCCCUGGCUGCCGGUGCCUGCACCAGUCAGCUUUGGACCUAAAGUGCUUAGCUGCAAAAUAUUCAUACCGGACUCUGAACUUUUCUGCAUGUGACCAUUUGUAACCCAACUAAACCUGCUGACGUCCACGUUGUCGUUAUGGUUCGCAUCGCUAACCAACGUUCAGCGUGAACACGCGGGCCGGUUCUGGCUAAGGCACCGCUCUCUGGCGGCCUCAAGAGGACACAUUGACAAGGACCCCAACAGUCAGAUAUUGAACUAUUUGUUCAUGUACUGUAUUUGAAUUUUUUGUUUUACCUGUCCAGGGACUGCAGAUGGAAAUGAGCUAUAUAGCUAUAAUCUGGCACAAGCAAUCUUUCUUUCUUUUUUUUUUUUAAGAUAUUUUUAUGGGCUUUUUUGCCUUUAUUGCAGAUAGGACAGUGGAGAGUGACAGGAAGUGAAUGUGGAGUGAGAUGGGGUAGGGAUGGGAAAUGACCUCGUACGGAUUCAAACCGGGGUCCCCAUGAGCAUGCAAGCCCAAAUGUGGGGGGCUUAGCGCGCUGCGCCACAGCACCCCCACAAGCCAUCUUUUUACUUCUGUAAACAAUGUCCCUGCUGAACUAACAUUAACUAGCUAAACUAAAUAAUCUAAACUAAACUAAACUGAACUAACAUUUAAUCUUUGACCUCAAUUUCAGAUUCUGUCUUGAUUUUAAUCAAUGAUGUUAAUUUGCACAUUGUAGGUCAAAAUGCCAGAGUUCACUGACCCAAAGGCCUGAAGGUGUUGUAUAUGCAGGCUUUCAUGAUUCAUUCAAAUCCUCAUUUCUGAGUCAAGUGAACAUAAUAGCAAAACAUGAAGAAGGUCUUCUGCCUUCUGUCUCUGGGACUUUUCGAUGGUGUGUAUGUUGUCACAAGAGAUUCAUGUAGGCCUAUUGCCAUAGUGUAAUGUGGGCCUAUUGCCAUAGUGUGAAGUUCAUGUAGGCCUAUUGCCAUAGUGUGAUGUUUUUUGAUCGAAAUACAAAUACGUGUUUAUAGUUUGUUAUAUAAAUGUUUAUGUAAUGUAUAAUAAAUGGGUGUUGAUGUGUUA